GCAUGUGAGGAAACGUUUCAAGGCUUCGUGGAUGACGUUGAAACCCGAAUUCGCGCCGAAACUGCUCUGGAUGCACGGGUGAUGCCAACUACCCUUGCUUCUGUUUACUAGCAGUGCUGUCACCAAUUUUUCUCUGAUCUGCAGCAGGUUCACCAUAGCUCAUCAAGCAAUAUCAUAUGCUAACAUCUUAAAUCUUGCAGGGAAAGAUAAAGUGGGUAGCAGAUCUAGUAUGGACCAAGCUGUCUGGCGUGUUCAGCAAGGAGGUGCUGCAUGCACAGCAUGCAUCCACCUUCUGCCAGAUCCUGGAGACCAAGUCUGGCAAAGGCAAGCGGCAGCUUGACUGUGCUGGGGUCGUCACCACAGUGCUGGCAGUUUUGCAGCGGCUCAGCCAACAAGUGUGCCAUGAAGACC
rnacentral:lncRNA from 1 species